AUUGAACGCUGGCGGCAGGCCUAACACAUGCAAGUCGAGCGAGCGGCGGACGGGUGAGUAAUGUCUGGGAAACUGCCCGAUGGAGGGGGAUAACUACUGGAAACGGUGGCUAAUACCGCAUACUAUCGGAUGUGCCCAGAUGGGAUUAGCUAGUAGGUGGGGUAAAGGCUCACCUAGGCGACGAUCCCUAGCUGGUCUGAGAGGAUGACCAGCCACACUGGGACUGAGACACGGUCCAGACUCCUACGGGAGGCAGCAGUGGGGAAUAUUGCACAAUGGGCGCAAGCCUGAUGCAGCCAUGCCGCGUGUAUGAAGAAGGCCUUAGGGUUGUAAAGCACUUUCAGCGAGGAGGCGUUACCCGCAGAAGAAGCACCGGCUAACUCCGUGCCAGCAGCCGCGGUAAUAC
rnacentral:rRNA from 1 species